AUACGGAGGAUGCAAGCGUUAUCCGGAUUUAUUGGGUUUAAAGGGUGCGUAGGCGGAGGAGUAAGUCAGGGGUGAAAUGCCGCAGCUCAACUGCGGAACUGCCUUUGAUACUGCUUUUCUGGAGUUCGGAUGCCGUGGGAGGAAUGGGCAGUGUAGCGGUGAAAUGCAUAGAUAUUGCCCAGAACACCGAUUGCGAAGGCCUCCCACGAAACCGGGACCUGCGCUGAGGCACGAAAGCGUUGGGAUUAAACAGGAUUAGAUAACCUGGGAGUCCCCGCAGUAAACGAUGAUAACUAACCGGCGGCGAUUGAAUGGCGGUGGCCAAGCGAAAGCGAUAAGUUAUCCACCUGGGGAGUACGACCGCAAGGUUGAAACUCAAAGGAAUUGACGGGG
rnacentral:rRNA from 1 species